AUUGAACGCUGGCGGCAUGCUUUACACAUGCGAGUCGAACGGUAACAGCACUUCGGUGGCUGACGAGUGGCGCACGGGUGAGUAAUACAUCGGAACGUGCCUAGUAGUGGGGGAUAACUACUCGAAAGAGUAGCUAAUACCGCAUGAGAUCUAAGGAUGAAAGCAGGGGACCUUCGGGCCUUGCGCUACUAGAGCGGCUGAUGGCAGAUUAGGUAGUUGGUGGGAUAAAAGCUUACCAAGCCGACGAUCUGUAGCUGGUCUGAGAGGACGACCAGCCACACUGGGACUGAGACACGGCCCAGACUCCUACGGGAGGCAGCAGUGGGGAAUUUUGGACAAUGGGCGCAAGCCUGAUCCAGCAAUGCCGCGUGCAGGAUGAAGGCCUUCGGGUUGUAAACUGCUUUUGUACGGAACGAAAAGCCCUCUUCUAAUACAGGAGGGUCAUGACGGUACCGUAAGAAUAAGCACCGGCUAACUACGUG
rnacentral:rRNA from 1 species